AUUCCAGCUCCAAUAGCGUAUAUUAAAGUUGUUGCAGUUAAAAAGCUCGUAGUUGAAUUUUGGACCUGGUUGAAUGGUCCCGCCGCAAGGUGGGUACUGUUUGAUUGGGUCUUUCUUUGCGGGGAAUUAGUGUGCUCUUAAUUGGGUGCAUUAAGGAUCCGUAACUUUUACUUUGAAAAAAUUAGAGUGUUUAAAGCAGGCUUAGGCCUGAAUACAUUAGCAUGGAAUAAUAGAAUAGGACCUGUGUUCUAUUUUGUUGGUUUCUAGGACGUAGGUAAUGAUUAAUAGGGACAGUUGGGGGCAUUAGUAUUUAAGUGUCAGAGGUGAAAUUCUUGGAUUGCUUAAAGACUAACUUCUACGAAAGCAUUUGCCAAGGAUGUUUUCAUUA
rnacentral:rRNA from 1 species